GGCGAACGGGUGAGUAACACGUGGGUGAUCUGCCCUGCACUUCGGGAUAAGCUUGGGAAACUGGGUCUAAUACCGGAUAGGAGCCAUCUUUAGUGUGGUGGUUGGAAAGUUUUUUCAGUGUAGGAUGAGCUCGCGGCCUAUCAGCUUGUUGGUGGGGUAAUGGCCUACCAAGGCGGCGACGGGUAGCCGGCCUGAGAGGGUGUACGGCCACAUUGGGACUGAGAUACGGCCCAG
rnacentral:rRNA from 1 species